AUGGUUUCUGAUGAAACACUUGUGAUUGGCUGCUUGAGACACACCCUCUCUUGCUUGUCCAGAUCUGAAUGAGCACUGACCUGCUAACACUGUUCAAAGGGCACAUUCACAGAGCCACAGGAACACAACACAGAAAAAAAUGCACGCAGCUCUCCAACACAAACAACAGUCUUAUCAAAUGUCUGUUUAUUUCGUGUUCUCAGUACAGAAUGCUUUUACCUCAAAAUCUGAAUGUUAUUUAAAGAUCUAUGGUCUGAUACCCUACAUUGGUGCCGUGAUCGGUCUUCUGAGCAUCAGUGUCGGACGUGUGACGCCAGGAGGAACUCAGCAUUGCGCGAGGCUGACUUCGGAGGACUGGUGCAAGGCGGACAUCCAAGCAUCGGUGCACAUGGGACGUCAGGGGACUAGCGCGAGGCAUUGACACUUAGCAGAGUUCAGAGCAUCAACACGGGGCGGAGCUUGGAACUCAAGAUUGUUGUUCCCCUCUUUGGAUCGCAACACCCCGAGACAAUAUCUAAUUGGUCAAGACAACAUUUGUGGUGUGGCCGAAAGGCCAGUUUAAAUACUCAGGGCACCAUCAAAUUUUGCUCUUAGCUUUUGCUUGUAGUUUUAGAUUUUAGCCAUGCUUUUUGUCAUUACAUUUUGCGUUCUUUGAGCGCCAUUCCAGCGUGUUUUGGCAUGCACGCCUGCUGCUACUUAGCCACAAUGAGAAGAAACACCAUCUAGUCUCGUCAAACUUUACUUCUAUUCUUUUACUUUAGUUUAUUUAUUUUUUUUCGUUGAGAGUUUCAUGUUCUGAGUUAAGUUUUGCCAAAUGCCGUGUCUCCGAGUCCGACCUCGAGUGCCCGUCUAAAACUUCAACCAGCCCACAACUCCGCAUCUUCAGCCAACGUCCAGUGACUGGCUUCCCAAGACGUCAAGACUACUGAACUUCCAGCCAAUCAGCAACUUCGGGAAACCCCCUUUUCCACGACAACAAAAGGGAACCCUUUACACAGGCAACACAAGUAACUUACCUCCAGAUUCUAGCUUAACUGGUGCAUUUAAUAUAAAGUUUAACCUCACUGAGGAGCUCAAUACGAGGGUUAAUUAAGUGAUUGAUGGUUGUUCAUGUCUAUGCAAUUUCACGCAUUGCUGUAAACUUGGGAUUUCACAGUUUCAUUCUCUUAAAUUCAUUCUUUCCUAACUUUGUCUCUUCCUGCAACUUGUGUGAAUGUGUGAGUGUGUGUGCUUAUGUGUUAGAUUAGUUUAUAUGUCUUAGAUUUAUCUAAUAAAGCCUUAUUCAUAUUGAAAAGAGAAUUAUCU
ensembl:lncRNA